AACGAACGCUGGCGGCAGGCUUAACACAUGCAAGUCGAACGCACCGCAAGGUGAGUGGCAGACGGGUGAGUAACGCGUGGGAAUCUACCCAGUCCUUCGGAAUAACACAGGGAAACUUGUGCUAAUACCGGAUACGCCCUACGGGGGAAAGAUUUAUCGGGAUUGGAUGAGCCCGCGUUGGAUUAGCUAGUUGGUGAGGUAAUGGCUCACCAAGGCGACGAUCCAUAGCUGGUCUGAGAGGAUGAUCAGCCACACUGGGACUGAGACACGGCCCAGACUCCUACGGGAGGCAGCAGUGGGGAAUAUUGGACAAUGGGCGAAAGCCUGAUCCAGCCAUGCCGCGUGAGUGAUGAAGGCCUUAGGGUUGUAAAGCUCUUUCAGUAGGGAAGAUAAUGACGGUACCUACAGAAGAAGCCCCGGCUAACUUCGUGCCAGCAGCCGCCGUAACAC
rnacentral:rRNA from 1 species